UAUGGCCAUAUAGCGUGGAAACGCCGGUUCCCGUACGAUCACAGAAUUUAAGCAAAGCUGAGCCUGGUCAGUACCUAGAUGAGUGACCGUUUGGCAAUACCAGAUACUGU